rnacentral:lncRNA from 1 species
UGGGGGCAGAGAAAGGGAUAGGAGGAUGUGAUUGGGGGCUAGAUGCCCCUCAUUGGCGGGUCCCUGCAGCGGACCACAUGGUCACACACCGUCCCUCCCCACAAGGAGAACAGCAAAGAGUCCCGAGGAGAUGGCUGUAGGCGGGUGACAGGCCAGAGGGCCUGCUACAAACAACCGACGAAGGACUGUGGAAACAGAAGCGCGUGAGGGGCUCCUACAAAUGCAAAAGGGAAGACGCAGCCCACAGAGGCCAACGGGAUUGCACAGAAGAGGAGCACGCUGAGCAGCCCACAGGGGAAGCGACGGGAACUCCAGAACAGCCAAGGAAACGCAGGUCAGAGGACCAGGAGACCAAUGCACGGGAGAAGCCACAGGCGCCCCUGCACACUCCCAGUGCUGCGCGUAUCAGAGCACGGGUUUGGAAACCUGUUGGACUGUUUUUAAAAUUGAACGCUCCCAACCCCUGGCCUAGCCCGUCCACCCCUGGAGGUGCAGACGAGGGCACUCGCGGCGGCCCCAUUUCACAUCAGGUCCCUGGGGGCUGGGCAGAUGGACACCAUGCAUCAUGCCGCCCCCUCACAGGGAGGAUCCUGCAGCAGGCAAGGUGAGUGCCCGCAGGCACAGUGCACGGGGCUCCUGCAGGGUGACGGGCGCAGGCACAUCCCAGCAGACACAGGGACACGAGAGUCUGGGGCCAGAACCUUCCGGAGGAGGGGAAUUUGCAGGGCCUCAGAGCAUCCCCUGAUAUUUGUUAAUUACUGAGGCAGUCUCCAAGCUGUCUCUGGCUGCGUCACACCUGGUCCCUGCACCUGAGUCCCUCCCCUCUGCCAGCCGCAUCCUCGCCAAGCUCAAGACCUGCCUCCUCCAGAAAGUCUCACUUGACUGCUUGAGCCAGUUGGCCCUUGAGGGCUGCCAGAUCAGCGGCGGCAUUAGAUCCUCACAGGAGGAGGAGGAAGAACCCCAUUGUGCACUGCGCAUGCAGGGAUCUCGGCUGCUCCUUAUGAGAAUCUAAUGCCUGAUGAUCUGAGGUGAGACGAUUUCAUCCCAAAACCAUCCCACCACACCCACAGCUGUGGGAAAAUUGUCUUCUGCGAAACUGGUCCCUGGUGCUGAAAAGGUUGGGGAGCACUGCACUAAGGCAUCCGACGCCCCGGUCACAGGGAGAUGGGCUCAGGUAGACACCAUCUGAGCACCCAGUGCCACACUGCAGCCUCCCUGCGGGGGGAAGUUCUUGCCCUAGUUGGCCCACGGGGCUCACCUGGCCCUUCUGUCCUAUCCUAGACCAGUAGUUCUUCCUGCCUCAAUCAACCCUUCCUCUGACUCCCUCCUUGGCCUUCCCGACAGCCCACGGACAGAUACCUGCACUCAGGCGUGGCCUGCCACACUGAAACUUCUCCCCCGUCCUGGGUUAGAGGAGAAACCUUCAUCCUCCGACAGAUAUGCAGGAAGGGGCGUGGCACCUGCCCAGGCAGGAGAGGCACCUCUGUCUCAGCGCAGAGGGCAGCCUCCCUGGGGGGGACUGGUGGUCUGGGGGACGUGGGCAUCACGGCUCCAGCUCUGCAGCUUGCCUCCGUAGGGGCCCGGGAAGUGUUGUGUUGGAGGGAUUCAUGGGAGAAUGGCCCCUCACAUGCCUGGCUUCAGACCCAGGAUGAGGGUCCCUCCUCUGCCCAGAACCCCAGCUCCUCUGGCAGAGGCUGAAAUUAGAGACCCCCUCACAUCAGCCUGGGCCGAAAGUUGAAAGCCGGCAGGAUAAGCCCAGACCCCUGAGAAGGAAGGGACGAGGCAGGGACCCCAGACCAGGCAGGACUUUCGGAGAAGCCUGGGAGAGGGGACUGUCCCUGGGGAACAUUCUCAAAGGUGGGGGUGGGAAGCCAUCGUUCACCCCAGAAAUGAGGCACAGAAACCCCCUCCCCACCAAAGACACCGUGCAGCACUGGGGUGAUGACCCCACGCCUCUGCAAACAGCAGGAUCAGCCUCCCCUGGGGAAUGGGGUGCAAAGCCCCCAUCACUGACGUGGGCUGACAGGGAGCCCUCCCCCCAGGGCAGAGCUACACGCACACCUGGGGCGUGCCAGCCCCUGGCUGCCCUUAGCUGCUCCCUCGGACAAGGCAGAAGCACUAGGGCUGCCAGGUGUAGCCCCCGCCGACACACACAGCCAGACAGGUGGAGUCCCCCCAACACACACAGCCAGACAGGUGUAGCCCCCCCCCGACUCACACAGCCAGAUAGGUGUAGCCCCCCUGACACACACAGCCAGACAGGUGUAGCCACCCCCUGACACACACAGCCAGGCAGGUGUAGCCCCCCCAACACACACAGCCAGACAGGCCUCAGGCUCCGAGACUCUGCUGCAGAACACUGGGCCCACCAGCCUCCAGGACCGGGCCGUCCAUCUGUCCAUCCGUCUCCAGGGCCAGUGUUUACGGAGCCACACCCACCGGCCCAUCCCCCGGGCCACAGCCACCAGCCUACAGGACCAGGCCAUCCAUCUGUCCAUCCGUCUCCAGGGCCAGUGUUUACGGACCACGGGAGCCUGGCUUCUCCACACCACCCUCGGGGUCUUCACAGUCCCAAGCAUGGAGAGGCCCACCUUGUGAGCCACAGCGUCUCGCCUCUGCCCAGCCCACGCAUCCUCUGAGCAAACCCUCCCCAGCUGGCUCUGCGCUCCUGAAGCCAGUCUUCUGCCCACCCCCCGGCCCCUCCAGCUGUCCAGUCUGUCAUCUGUCAGUUCACCCAUCCGUGUGCCCGUCCAUCCCCAGACACUGACGGAGCGACCUGCGUGCAGCCCUCCCAGGCAGUGCGUGGCGUUCGUGGACGCAGGGGCGGGGGCCUACUUGGCAGGAGUUUUGACCUGCUCCGUUUCCGACCUGGACCGGUUCACCCCUCCUUAGGCAACUUGGUGGUCCCCUGCUCCUGGGAGGUCACCAUACUGAUGUGCGGACAGCCAGUCAGCCUAACACACUACAGCCCAGAACUCCCAGGCUCGAGCAACCCUCCUGCCUCAGCCUCCGGAGUAGCUGGGACCGCAGG